rnacentral:sRNA from 1 species
GCUGGGCGAGGUGACGCAGGCCUGUAAUCCCAGUGACUAGGGAGGCUGAGGCAUGAGGAUCACAGAUUUCAGGACAGCCUGAGCAAUUUUGGUAAGGCCCUAAACAAUUUAGUGAGAACCUGUCUCAA